rnacentral:rRNA from 1 species
UACUGCAUACGUCCCUACGGGGAGAAAGGUGGCCUCUUUGCUGCCGCUAAAGGAUAAGCUUGCGUACUAUUAGCUAGUUGGUGAGGUAAAGGCUCACCAAGGCGAUGAUGGUUAGCCGGGCCUGAGAGGGUGUACGGCCACACUGGAACUUAGACACGGUCCAGACUCCUACGGGAGGCAGCAGUGAGGAAUAUUGCGCAAUGGGCGAAAGCCUGACGCAGCGACGCCGCGUGGAGGAUGAAGGUCUUCGGAUUGUAAACUCCUGUUAAGUGGGAAGAAAGACCUAUUUCUAAUACAGAUAGGGGAUGACGGUACCAUUAGAGAAAGCACCGGCUAACUUCGUG